UGGUCCUACGGGGGGCAGCAGUGGGGGAUAUUGCACAAUGGGGGGAACCCUGAUGCAGCGACGCCGCGUGGGUGAAGAAGUAUUUCGGUAUGUAAAGCCCUAUCGGCAGGGAAGAAUUUAGACGGUACCUGAUUAACAAGCCCCGGCUAACUACGAGCCAGCAGCCGCGGUAAUACGUAGGGGGGAAGCGUUAUCCGGAUUCACUGGGUGUAAAGGGAGCGGAGACGGGC
rnacentral:rRNA from 1 species